AUACUUACCUGGCAGGGGAGAUACCAGAAUCAUGAAGGUGGUUCCAUGGCAGGCUUAUCCUUGCACUCAAUGUGCUGACCCUGUGAUUUCCCUAAAUGUGAGAACUCGGACUGAUAAUUUGUGGUUAGGGGGGACUGCGUUCGUGCUCUCCCCUG
rnacentral:snRNA from 1 species